GUCACGCCCCCGCCUGCGCGAGGCACGUGAGGCACCUAGUGCCCACGUGGGGGCCACAUGAGGGGGGACCGCGGGGCUCCCCUGCCAGAUAUUGUCCGGUUCUGGGGCUUCACGCAAGCGUCCUUCACCCCUCCCCGGUUUUGUUUUCCACCCAAAACGCGUCUGCAGGAUUAGGAGACACCCGCCUCAUAUGCCCAGGCUC
rnacentral:lncRNA from 1 species